rnacentral:misc_RNA from 1 species
GAUGAAGAACGUAGCGAAAUGCGAUAAGUAAUGUGAAUUGCAGAUUUCAGUGAAUCAUCGAAUCUUUGAACGCACCUUGCGCCUUGUGGUAUUCCACAAGGCAUGCCCGUUUGAGUAUCAUUAAAUCAUCAACUCUAAAACCUUUGUGGUUUUUUUAGAGCUUGGUCUUGAGGGUUUUGCAGGCUUUUUUUUUCGAGUCUGCUCCCUUUAAAUGCAUUAGCGAGACUUCCCUAUGCUGACCCGUCUCUUUGACGUGAUAAUUAUCUGCGUCGAAUUUUGGUUCUCGUUGGGCUUGCUUCUAAUCGUCUGUUAAAGACAAAACGGAUUUGGGUGCAUAUAUGCGCCUUUUUCCAAAACCUUUUUUGAUCUCAAAUCGGGUAGGACUACCCGCUGAACUUAAGCAUAUCAAUAAGCGGAGGA